rnacentral:rRNA from 1 species
UCGAGAAUCUUCCACAAUGGACGAAAGUCUGAUGGAGCGACGCCGCGUGAUUGAUGAAGUCCUUCGGGACGUAAAGAUCUUUUAUGAGGGAAGAAGUUUAUUGACGGUACCUCAUGAAUAAGGGGCUCCUAAUCUCGUGCCAGCAGGAGCGGUAAUACGAGAGCCCCGAGCGUUAUCCGGAAUUAUUGGGCGUAAAGGGUGCGUAGGCGGUUAUGUUAGUCGUGUGUUAAAACCCCGGGCUCAACCUGGGAGAUGCGCGCGAAACGGCAUGACUUAGAAUGAAGGAGAGGUGUGCGGAACUCAUGGUGUAGGGGUGAAAUCCGUUGAUAUCAUGGGGAACACCAAAUGCGAAAGCAGCACACUGGCCUUUUAUUGACGCUGAGGCACGAAAGCGUGGGUAGCGAAUGGGAUUAGAUACCCCCGUAGUCC